AUGGGCGAACGGAAAGAAGCAACGGUGCCGAGCGUGGCCUGUGUGGGAGGAGGCAGCGGCGGCAGUGGAUCGAGAUCGAGCUCAUGCAAACGCGCAUCUGCUGUUUGCAAAAUCAGCAAGCGCAGCCAGCAGGGGAUCUUUAAGAAGAUGAAGCCAAUUGCUGCUUAUUUUGGAACUCCACCAUCUAAUGAAUUUCAAGCUCCUGUUCAUGUUCCUGAACCUGAUGCGAACAUUUUAUCCACUGAAGCCUCAGAUGCAAACAUUGUAGAAGAUCUAGUUCCUGAACCUGAAGUGUAUAAUGAGGGCUCUCAUGAUAACACUUUACAAACUUCUAUUCUAGGAUUUAGUUGCUUCGUUUUGUAUUAA
rnacentral:rRNA from 1 species